GACGAACCGUCCAAACGUUAUUCGGAAUCACUGGGCUUAAAGGGUGCGUAGGCGGCGCGGAAAGUUGGGUGUGAAAUCCCUCGGCUCAACCGAGGAACUGCGCCCAAAACUACCGUGCUCGAGGGAGAUAGAGGUGAGCGGAACUUAGGGUGGAGCGGUGAAAUGCGUUGAUAUCCUAAGGAACACCGGUGGCGAAAGCGGCUCACUGGAUCUCUUCUGACGCUGAUGCACGAAAGCUAGGGUAGCAAACGGG
rnacentral:rRNA from 1 species